rnacentral:rRNA from 1 species
GGGUGAGUAACACGUGGGAACGUGCCCUUUGGUUCGGAACAACUCAGGGAAACUUGAGCUAAUACCGGAUGUGCCCUUCGGGGGAAAGAUUUAUCGCCAUUGGAGCGGCCCGCGUCUGAUUAGCUAGUUGGUGAGGUAAAGGCUCACCAAGGCGACGAUCAGUAGCUGGUCUGAGAGGAUGAUCAGCCACAUUGGGACUGAGACACGGCCCAAACUCCUACGGGAGGCAGCAGUGGGGAAUCUUGCGCAAUGGGCGAAAGCCUGACGCAGCCAUGCCGCGUGAAUGAUGAAGGUCUUAGGAUUGUAAAAUUCUUUCACCGGGGACGAUAAUGACGGUACCCGGAGAAGAAGCCCCGGCUAACUUCGUGCCAGCAGCCGCGGUAAUACGAAGGGGGCUAGCGUUGCUCGGAAUUACUGGGCGUAAAGGGAGCGUAGGCGGACUGUUAAGUUAGAGGUGAAAGCCCAGGGCUCAACCUUGGAAUUGCCUUUGAUACUGGCAGUCUUGAGUACGGAAGAGGUAUGUGGAACUCCGAGU